UAUAGAUUUUUUAUAAAUUUUUUCCAAACAUUACAAACAAUUGUAUAGAUUUUUUAUAUUAUCUUUGUGAAGAAGAAAGGGAGGCCACGAAAGUAUGAAUCAGAUGGUAACUUGAGACUACCAUCUAUAUCAUCACCACCACCAGGUUUUUCUUUCUCACCUCCUUUUCCUUCUUCUUUUGAGUCCUCUUCUUCCAAAAGGGGUCGUGGCAGACCACUUCAUUCUGGUAAUUGCCAGCUGCGUGCUUCUUUAGGUGAGUUCAAAUCAAGCCUUUAAAUCAACUUUUUCCCUUGAGAUUGAUAAUUUAGUUGUGUACAACCUUUUCCUUUGCUGCAUAUUGGAACACAUUGAAAACAGUAAGUAUGGUUUAACUUGAUUUUUAUUUUUUUUGAAGUACAUUAGUUAGUGUGAUUUGUAGGUUGUGGAUGAAGUCUUAACGAGGCGGAAAGAGACUGAAUGGUUCAUUGAAGGAGACUUUGAUGCGUAUGUCGAAAGAAUUCGAAAACCUUAUGUAUGGGGUGGAGAGCUUGAGUUGCUGAUGGCAUCCCAUCUUCUCAAGUGAAUUCUAUUCACUGUUUCAGUGAAGCAUUUAUGUUGUCCUUAU